GAUGAACGCUGGCGGCGUGCCUAAUACAUGCAAGUCGAGCGAACGGACGAGAAGUUUGCUUCUCUGAUGUUAGCGGCGGACGGGCGAGUAACACGUGGAUAACCUACCUAUAAGACUGGGAUAACUUCGGGAAACCGGAGCUAAUACCGGAUAAUAUUUUGAACCGCAUGGUUCAAAAGUGAAAGACGGUCUUGCUGUCACUUAUAGAUGGAUCCGCGCUGCAUUAGCUAGUUGGUAAGGUAACGGCUUACCAAGGCAACGAUGCAUAGCCGACCUGAGAGGGUGAUCGGCCACACUGGAACUGAGACACGGUCCAGACUCCUACGGGAGGCAGCAGUAGGGAAUCUUCCGCAAUGGGCGAAAGCCUGACGGAGCAACGCCGCGUGAGUGAUGAAGGUCUUCGGAUCGUAAAACUCUGUUAUUAGGGAAGAACAUAUGUGUAAGUAACUGUGCACAUCUUGACGGUACCUAAUCAGAAAGCCACGGCUAACUACGUG
rnacentral:rRNA from 1 species